rnacentral:rRNA from 1 species
CGGGUCGUAAAGCUCUGUGGGGAGGGACGAAUAAGCUCGGUGCUAACAUCACCGGGCCCUGACGGUACCUCCUUAGCAAGCACCGGCUAACCCUGUGC